AAACUAACAAGGAUUCCCCUAGUAACGGCGAGUGAAGAGGGAAGAGCCCAAGAUUGAAAGCUGGCGUUUUCGGCGUCCGCAUUGUAAUCUCAAGAAGUGUUUUCCGCUUCGGACCAUGCCUAAGUCCCUUGGAAAAGGGCAUCAUAGAGGGUGAUAAUCCCGUACAUGGCAUGGAGCGCCCGAGGCUUUGUGAUACGCUUUCUAAGAGUCGAGUUGUUUGGGAAUGCAGCUCAAAAUGGGUGGUAAAUGCCAUCUAAGGCUAAAUAUUGGGGAGAGACCGAUAGCGAACAAGUACAGUGAUGGAAAGAUGAAAAGAACUUUGAAAAGAGAGUUAAACAGUACGUGAAAUUGCCAAAAGGGAAGGGUAGGAGGUCAGAGAUGCGUCUUGGGAUUCAGCCUUGCUUUUGCUUGGUGUUUUUCCCAAGUUGCAGGCCAACGUCGGUUUUGGGCACUGGAGAAGGGUGGAAGGAACGUGGCACCUCUCGGGGUGUGUUAUAGCCUUCUACUGGAUACAGCGACCGAGACCGAGGACAGCAGCGUACUC
rnacentral:rRNA from 1 species